rnacentral:lncRNA from 1 species
CAGAAGCCAGAGGUAAGAUGGUUUGGGGGAUGUCUCUGAGCCAACACUAUUCAUUUGGAGAAAGAUGAAAAACUACAUACAAGUCACCUCACAUCACAGCUGCUUCUCCCAACCUUCCUAUUCCUCCAGAACCAUCCUCCUCCAUUUCUUCUUCAGAAAACAUCAGGUCUUUCAGAGAUGACAGCCAGACUGGUCAAAACAAUAUACAGUAAGACAAUGUGGAAGAAAGUCUCUUGCCUGCCUUUGGGUCAAAACUUAGAGCCUUUGGCUCCUCCAGCACCCUGUCAUCCUGAAAGCUGCCAUACCUUCUACCACGAUGAUAACAGAAGGAAGCUCUGAGACGAAAUCUUGUUGAUGGCUGUGAUCCAUAGAGUACCAUGACACCUUGUUGAUGCUGAUACAAGAGGCCAUGUUGAAAACCUUGGUCCAUCUUGCUGCUUAAGACAAUGUCAAAGUAAGUGUUAUGUGCUGCUACAGUAGUCCAGUUGGAAGACUAUGAACUGAACUGCAAACUAAAGCUAUGUUGAAGUAACUGAUGACUAUUCACAAUCACAAACUAACCAUGUUGAUGUCCAAAUGGAGACCUUGUAAUAGCCAUGAUCCCUGUUGACAGCGGAGACACUGUUGAAUUCCAUGGUCAAUACUGCCUCCUGAAGCCAUAUUCAAGGAAGUGUUCUAUUUUGUACCCAAGAACCAGUAUUAUGUAUAAAAUUCAAACUGCUCAAUGGCAAUAUGUUGUUGUCAUAGCAACCUGUUUAUACUGUGGAUGAAUAAGCAAUGGAAUUUUUACUGAUGUCAGUGAUCCAUAAUUUAGCCCAAUUUAUGAGAAGUAUUCCAUUUUGAUGUCACACUGAAUCCUGACACUAGAGGUUUCUGUAUAAAGUCUUACCUGUU